AUGGAGGACGGAGAGGGUCGAGACCUGAUUAAACUCACCACAGACAAACUCUCUGCUGAUGCUGUGUCAGAGUCCGUGACCUGUUCCUCCUGUGGAGCCAUUUCAUUAUUCAUUGGAACCACUAGAGAUCAUUUUGAAGGGAAGAAGGUUGUUCAGCUGGAAUAUGAAGCGUACGUACCCAUGGCGGAGUCGGAGAUGAGGAAAAUCUGUGCUGAUGUGAGGAGAAGAUGGCUGACAGUCCGACACAUCUGCAUUCAUCACAGACUCGGCGUGAUUCCUGUUACCGAGGCCAGUGUGAUCAUCGGAGUCUCGUCGCCUCACCGCGGUGACUCUCUGGAGGCCGUGAGGUUUGUAAUCGACGCUCUCAAAUCCACCGUCCCCAUCUGGAAAAAGGAGAUCUAUGAAUCAGAGGAGCCGUGCUGGAAAGAGAACAGAGAGUGUCUGUGGACAGGAAGUCGGGACGAGAGAAAAACGAGUUGACCUUUGGACUGUAAUGAGCUCCAGGGCUUUGAUCUCGAGGCAGGGUCAUGAACCUACAGCUUGUUCCUCACAAAGACAUGGUGGAAUUCAUCAUGUAGCAGAUAAAUGCAAAAAUGCAACGAAGCUGAAGAAAUAAAACCAUUAAAACUGGGAGCUGUUUCUUCCCCAGUAUGAAGACCAUGAAGAGGAUGAAGUUCAGCACUGAAUCAGCUCCAUUUCUUCUGGACAGGUAAUGUUAUUGUUGUAAACUGUUUAAUUAAUGACCAAAGGAACAAAUCAGUGAGAGAUUUAUGGGAGCGUUUAUACUGAACUUUGUCGUCACUGGCUGAGGAAGAAAGUGACCAAGAUCACAAUAACAUGACAUCAUGAGGGAAUAAAACUUCUGUAUCAUGACUCAUUCUGACCAGACAAUUCAAAAUGAUGUUGGUGAAAAUGUUUGUAAACUGUUUUGGGUUCUUCUGGCACUGUCCGAGAAUAAUUAUAUACUGGCAAAAGGUUUUCCAAUCUUUCUCAGACAUCAUAGGAAGAGUGAUUGAUCCUAACCCACUGACAGCUAUCUUUGGAGUUAAAGAACCUGGUCUCGUACUGUCUAGCUCUCAAUAUAGCAUGAUAACAUUUAUAUCUCUUCUAGCACGCAGACUGAUUUUACUGAACUGGAAGCAGGCUCGACCCCCGACUCACUCUGCACUUUUGAAAGAUGUUAUGCAACAUCUACGGUUAGAAAAAAUUAAAUUCUCAUUGAGAGGGCGUGAAGAUAAAUUCCAUCAAAUCUGGAACCCUUUUAUAGAUCACGUCAACAGAAGUAAACCAACACUUCCCGCAAUUUAGCCUGAUGUUAAUAUGAAGACGGCACUGAACUACUCGAUAUCCUCUUUUAUUUCUGUCGCUUCUCAUGGGUAAUUUUUUUUCUUGUUUGUUUGUUUGUUUGUGUUUUCUUCGGUGUACCUAUGUGUCAUUGAUGUAUAUCAGUAUGUCAGAUAUGUCAAAUAUUGUGUGUAUGUUAAACUCUGAAAGCCCCAAUA